GUUUCAAAUGAAUGAGAGUUUAUUUUCAUAUGUAUAGAAUAGAAUUAAAACAUUUCUGAGUAAUACAAGAGAAGUCUUUUAUAUCUAGCAUUAUGUGCAUUGAAUUAAAUGAAGUAUUUAAUACAAAACUAUUUUGUAGGGUCUGUGCAAUAAAUACGUUCUUCUUUUCAAACCUUGAAAUCAAUAGGGCAAAUGAUGUUAAGGUCAUCUGAUUUUUAGGAGUGUGGUGGCCGAGAGGUUAAGUAAUUGGCUUCUGAACCUGGGGUCUUGGGUUCAAAUCUUGAUGAAAACUGGGAAUUUGAAUUUCAAAAUGUUAAGGACAACCGUGAGUCAAUCCAACUUUAAUGGGUGCUUGACUUAAGUUGGGGGGGGGGGGGGGGGG